ACCGUUGGUAUACCUCUUUAGUCCCGGUUGGUGGCUCAACCCGGGACUAAAGGCCCAAACGGUUUGCAUCCCGCGUCGUUUCGGGCGAUGAAAAGCACGAACCGAAGCAGAGUCGCCAUUUCUCUGUUUCUUCUUCUCUCUCGCUCUCGCUCUCUGUUCUUCUCCUCUCUUCUUCCCUUCUCUUCUUCCACCAUGCCAACUCGCUUUG
rnacentral:lncRNA from 1 species